GACCAAUCUCUCAUUCCAUCUUCUAGGGAACCUUAGCCAACUGUUUGGUGGUUUCAUGUGUUUGAAACUACAUGGUUUCUAAAUUUGCAUGACAGACUUUAAGAAAAGUCAUGUUGAAGAAAAAGGACUGAGGACUGACUCUGACUGACAGUCAACAAGCUACCUGUUGGCUGCUUCCCUGGAAUCUCCCUUUUUACUUCCUUAAGCUUGAUUUGAGGGUAAAUCCUGCGCUACUUAUCAUGGACUUCAUCCAUUGGGGAUGCUAUAAUUCAAGAGAAUGCUGUCAUUCAAGACUGAUAAAUUGUGUAGUUGUUAGAUAAAACAAGUGCAGUCAGUUAAGGCAGUGUCUCCUCCUGUCUUGAUUGACUGUGUGUGCGAGUUUCAAAAGCAGUUUAUCACCCAAAUGAGACAAAAGGAGUAUGUCUGUUUGUUUAUUUGGGUAUAAAUUGCUUUAAAAUUUGCACAGAAAAAUAUUUGGG
rnacentral:lncRNA from 1 species